GAUGAACGCUCGCUACAGGCUUAACACAUGCAAGUCGAGGGGAAACGACAUCGGAAGCUUGCUUUUGAUGGGCGUCGACCGGCGCACGGGUGAGCAACGCGUAUCCAACCUGCCCAUCACUUGGGAAUAACCUUGCGAAAGUAAGACUAAUACCCAAUGACAUCCCACGAAGACAUCUGAAUGGGAUUAAAGAUUUAUCGGUGAUGGAUGGGGAUGCGUCUGAUUAGCUUGUUGGCGGGGUAACGGCCCACCAAGGCAACGAUCAGUAGGGGUUCUGAGAGGAAGGUCCCCCACAUUGGAACUGAGACACGGUCCAAACUCCUACGGGAGGCAGCAGUGAGGAAUAGUGGUCAAUGGGCGAGAGCCUGAACCAGCCAAGUGGCGUGCAGGAGGACGGCCCUAUGGGUUGUAAACUGCUUUUAUAAGGGAAUAAAGUGGGUCUCGUGAGACUUUUUGCAUGUACCUUAUGAAUAAGGACCGGCUAAUUCCGUG
rnacentral:rRNA from 1 species